AACGAACGCUGGCGGCAUGCCUAACACAUGCAAGUCGAACGAGAUCUUCGGGUCUAGUGGCGCACGGGUGCGUAACGCGUGGGAAUCUGCCCUUUGGUUCGGAAUAACAGUUGGAAACGACUGCUAAUACCGGAUGAUGACGAAAGUCCAAAGAUUUAUCGCCAGAGGAUGAGCCCGCGUAGGAUUAGCUAGUUGGUGUGGUAAAGGCGCACCAAGGCGACGAUCCUUAGCUGGUCUGAGAGGAUGAUCAGCCACACUGGGACUGAGACAUGGCCCAGGCUCCUACGGGAGGCAGCAGUGGGGAAUAUUGGACAAUGGGCGAAAGCCUGAUCCAGCAAUGCCGCGUGAGUGAUGAAGGCCUUAGGGUUGUAAAGCUCUUUUACCCGGGAUGAUAAUGACAGUACCGGGAGAAUAAGCUCCGGCUAACUCCGUGCCAGCCGCCGCGGUAA
rnacentral:rRNA from 1 species